rnacentral:rRNA from 1 species
CCUUCUCGCACACGAUGACGACACGACCUGGUCUUGCUUUUGCUCCUACCCUGCGCGCCUGGUGCGCCGCUUUGCCAGUCCUAGGAGGGAGGCGGGGUGAGGGAAAAUUCGGGGGGUAGGCGGGCAUGAGCAGCCGCGGCACGUCAACUCACGAGCGACGAGGGAGGAGGGGGAGGCGCUUCUAAGAGGAAGCUGGGGAGGGCUAGAGGUUCCGCCGCAGCGGCAGCGGCAGCGGCGCGCGGUCUAGAGGAGGUGCGCGAGCGCCACGCGGGAGCGGCGGACGCGCUAGAUGGGCCGGUUCUACCGCUGGAUACUCGGGUUCUUGUAGGAGUAUUGACCACGACGCCCAAAGUAACGUAGAGUACACCGCUUGGCAGAUUAAUCCUCGAUAGGAGUGAUGUUCUAACAGCAGGAGCUGUUCUAACUGAUGACGAGGUUGGACUUUUUAGAGUUGGGGAGGGCCGGUAGCGGUUUAAAGUUCAAACAGUUCCCGCUGUAGCGUUCACGACUAGACCACUUGAUAGAAGAGUAGUGACUCAGCUAACUGUGGUAGUACGUGAAACGACGGGUCUGAGUACACCUAUUAAGCAAGCCGUUAAGGAAACUCAAAUGUUUCUUGUUGUAUAUACCGUGGGUACAAGAGGAACUCCGCACGUUCCAAUGACCGGUCUAGUCUUCUAAAUAGGUGCAGUCAUGACUACUCCACAUACCUCUUUGACUACUCCUACGACACCAACCAUUGGUACUCCGGAGUGUCAACGAAGGCUGUUUAGGUAUAAGUCGAUGGUUUCGACCCCGACUUUACGAACACUACCGAAUACCCUCCAGAAUACCAGAAGGACACUAAUGUUGGGCUCCGUUGUUACACAUAUUAUAACCAUGACACUUCCUCUCCUCCCAUUAACUACACCGGUCACUGUAUACGUUCGAUAAACCGAACCUGUGGCUUUUCCAGUAGUCCAAACAGCUCUUGUCCGGGAAGUUACUGGUCUCCAUGAAGGACCUACUAGUCUUUGACUUCUUCAAUCCUACCCGUCUCGCGUGCUGUACCCUUCUCCCAAACUUCUUUUGUUAACUUACCAUGUGGUCGUUAGGACUAAUGACCCCUCUACAACGGCCACGUAACGAGGGAGUAGGUUCCUACAACUACUGCGGACCUCAACUUUCCGUAUUGACCUGACUCCUUUAGUUUAGAGAACGAAGAAGAGGUCGACUUCGGUUCCUUACGUCAUGUCAUGGACGACGUCGGUGUAGGUUCUCAUGGUCGUCACAGGGAGUUUUCCGGUGGAUGUUCAAGAAUUAUAUACCGUUCUGACCUACCUAACCACCGGAUGAACCCUUCUAUACACUCUUCGUUCCGUAUGGAAUACUUAUACCAUUUCCCGCGGACGUUCUCGCGAGAGUCGAGAACGUCCUGUAAUCUUUACACUUCGGCUGAGUACAAAAGUUACGACGACCACAGUGACCUUCCGGUUUACAACUGACCACACUCUGGGUGUUUGUCCUGUGAUAGGCGUGGUUACAACAUCCGUGGAACUUAGAACGACUACAAACAGCACUCGUCCCCAACGAGUACUAAUUAAUACGAUGUCCAACGUAUAAACUCAUAUUACGACUUGUGGGACUUCCCAGACCUUAACCAAAAUUUCUCCUCCUGUGCGGGUUGAAACAUCCAAGUAAAAUAAGGUUUUGGUUUCGGUACCACCUUCUCAAUAACUUCCUGAUACUAUUACAGACAUGAGAAUCUCAGUCCUACGGGUAUAGUAGUCUGGACUCGUUAGGAGCAUUGAAGUAGUGUUUUUAUCGGGCGAUACUGUUCCACCACUUGUAAGGCUUGUCAUACUGUUAAAACCUACUUAACAACGGAUAGAGACAACUCUACCGCUUCGCCCUAACAUCCCCGUAUACCUUAAAGUGGUUGGGUCCCCAACAGUCAGUGUUGCUCUAAGACCUCUACAUGUUCCUUAUGUAUUUGGGCCUGAAGUUCACCUGGUUGAAGUGCGAGCUUCUCGUCCGGUUCCAAUAUCAACGUGGUUCUUCGUUGUUGCUUUACCUGCGCAGUUUCGACUUCAGGCUCAAGGGACUCGAUGACAGGUAAUUCCUUAGAAACUAGUCCUUACAGAAACUCGGUUUGUCCUUCCACAGAUGAUUAACUCCUAAGUACACUGUGUCCAGACGAUAUUCGAUAAAGAUUAAUCGAUUAUAUAACGUGCCACCGUCGACACCAGUUAAAAUAACACCAUAUCGUACGUAUGUAUAAAUGGUAAAAAACAAUGCGCAAUACAAAGUGAACUCAUAAUAGUCUACAAGAUACAUCACCACCUAUACAAACGACCGGACCAAUAGAUACUCUUGUCUAGAAUUUUAGAACAAAGAUAAAUAGUCCACGGAAAGUACACGUACUACGACGCGAACACGUAGGACAAAUGCACAACAAAAAGAACCAAAAGUAUAGACUUCAAACAUAACCGUCUGUUCUGAAAAUACACAUCAAAACAACCAAGUAUAAACUUCAAGCGUAGUCAAAG